rnacentral:rRNA from 1 species
GACGAACGCUGGCGGCGUGCUUAACACAUGCAAGUCGAGCGGUAAGGCCCUUCGGGUACACGAGCGGCGAACGGGUGAGUAACACGUGGGUGACCUGCCCUCAGCUCUGGGAUAAGCCCGGGGAAACUGGGUCUAAUACCGGAUAUGACCUUCUGCCGCAUGGUGGUUGGUGGAAAGCCAGUUACAUUGUUUCUGGCGGCUGGGGAUGGGCCCGCGGCCUAUCAGCUUGUUGGUGGGGUGAUGGCCUACCAAGGCGGUGACGGGUAGCCGG